rnacentral:rRNA from 1 species
UACGGGGGGGGCAAGCGUUGUUCGGAAUUACUGGGCGUAAAGGGUUCGUAGGUGGCUUGUUAAGUCAGACGUGAAAUCCCUCGGCUCAACCGGGGAACUGCGUCUGAGACUGAUGAGCUCGAGUGCAGGAGAGGAACGCGGAAUUCCAGGUGUAGCGGUGAAAUGCGUAGAUAUCGUAAGGAAGACCAGUGGCGAAGGCGGGUCUCUGGACAGUUCCUGACGCUGAGGCACGAAGGCCAGGGGAGCAAACGGGG